rnacentral:rRNA from 1 species
ACGACCAUACCCACUGGAGAACUCGGGAUCCCGUCCGCUCUCCCAUAGAUAAGCCAGUGAGGGCCAGAUUAGUAGUUGGGUCGGUGACGACCAGCGAAUACCUGGUGUUGUAUGUU